AGUUCCCGGCGGCCAGUUUCUUGGCAGCUCCUUGAUUAAGUUUCUGGAAUUAAUUGGAAUCACAGGUGGAAGGGGUAAUCGUAACACUGCUACUUGGGAUUCAUUGACCACUGCUCCAUGAACCCUACAAACAACCUGGACAUUGGCUAACAGCCAGACCCCUUGCUCAAUCAACUCUGAUUAAAUUCUGCAAAUGUUAAUUGGACUCCUACCACACACAAGCCACUGUGGUAAAAUGAAUAAUAACAUCAAAAAUGAAUAACAUCCGUCCCUGCCAAAUGGGAACUUUCAUUUUGUGCAAACACUUGGAGAAACUCCUGUAACUCCUAUUCCUUUAUGUAAGGGUGAAGGGUACAUUGUAACAGAUGGAAUUUCUCAUUUUAUUCAGCUUGCAGUUUUGCCAAAUGUGAUAAUUCUAUUUUACAUUAUAAAUUGUGUCACUGUAUCCAAGUCUUUCUAAACUAUGAUUUACUCAUUUUACACAGGUGGAAGCAUUGUAUAAUAGGCCAUCAAAUGCAAAUGCAAAUUUAGCUAAAAGAUUGUAUUUACAUAUGCUCUUCAUUUUUGGUGGUUGUUGUUAACUGUUAGGUAUAUGUAGAGUUUUUGUUUUUGUUUAAUUGAGGUAUUAUUGACAUAUAACAUGUUCAUUUUAGAUGUGCAACUUUGCUAUUUGCUAUUUGUAUAUAUAUUUCAAAAUACAUUACAAGUUUUGUUAACAUCAG